GGAAGGAAGGAAGGAAGGAAGGAAGGAAGGAAGGAAGGAAGGAAGGAAGGAAGGAAGGAAGGAAGGAAGGAAGGAAGGAAGGAAGGAAGGAAGGAAGGGGGAAGGAGGGAAGGAAUAUACCAGCUUCAGAUAAUUGAUUUUCACUUAUGCUCUCAGAAAGAGAACAGACUGUACAGAGCAUUUUAUUCUUGUUAUUAUUCUCACAAAGAAGUCUUCAGGGUGGUUAUUUGAUAUUUUAAAGCUGAUAACUCUCAAGAACUAACCUUUCAAAAUUGCAUACCAUAUAGAAUGUACUAUGAUAUUUUAGAAUAUGCAUAUGAUUGGAAAAGUUUUAUAAUGCAUGCUAGACAAUAGCUAGUAUUUUUAACACUAUUUGCACAUGAAAUUAUUCAUGAAGUAUCCUCCAAUCAGGGAGAAGUGAGGACAUUUUUCCUAACAUAGAUGGAUAAAUGGUAAAACUGGAAAUUCUUUUAUUAAAGCUAGACAACAGAUACAAAAACACCAGGAGUAGAAUCUGGCCAUAAACUUUAUGGGGUUUCAGCUAUAUAUUCCUUUCACCAAACUGUUUCAUUUUUAACUCUGCUCUUUUUUUUCUUUUUUUUUUUUUUGUCAUUACAGUAUUUAAGCCCAUGCGUGCAUGUGUGUUUUGUGUGAAGCCCACACUGACAUCACUAUCGCUCAUAGCCAAAUGGACAGAGAUAUGCUGAAGAAAAGAGUAUUGAAGAGUGUUUCAAUUCCACAGAGAUCUCAAGCUAUUGAAUGUGGGAUCAGUCCCUUAGAACUGACUGCAGGUAGAACUGAGAAGAGUUGUGAGGCUGCUCUAUGCUGCUCCUCAGGACAGUAAUGAAUCCUUCACCAUACAAGUUUACAUUUUUUUGCCAAGCAUAAGAAUUAAAUUGUUAUUUCAAAUUUUGUCAAUUGUUGUGUGCAUAUUAUUUUACAAGUCUGUAUUCUUUAGAAAUAGAAUUGUUUGUGCGAGUCUAGAUCUAUUAAUGUUGCAGUUUAUACUCUUAACUGUUUACAGAUUCUUUCAUGCUGUGCCAAUAAAAUUUUUCAAGAUCCUAACA
rnacentral:lncRNA from 1 species